CUAAGAGUUCAGUCAAGCCAGCUGUCAGACGCCGGGCAAGGGGGUGACUUUGUGACAUUGGCUUCUUACACUCAAACAUGUCCUUGACAGACACCUGACUGUGGGCAGAUGAGCAGGAACUGCUCAAGACGAGAGACGGAGGGGCGGAUGGUUGAGAGGGGGCAAGGAGGACAGCAGUGGUUAAUGUGGCUGAAGAUGCUGGACCAGGAGAAGGAUGGUGGCUUUUCGAGUUCAGAACUUUUCGAGUUCAGGAUACGUGGCCUCUGAACACUGGGCAUUAUUCUAGGGCCAAAGGGAAUCACAGCACCACGACCACCACGGUUUUUUUAGUGGUACUAUGCGUGCAAGCUACUGUGACAACAGAUAUGAGUGGCACUGUGCAGUGGCAGAAGUUGGCAGAGUAGAUGCUGUAGGCCUGACACACACACGCUUGCAGACAACUAACUGCUAUUCAAUCUAUUACAGUCGAAAU